CCAAUAGAACAAUACAACUUUCAACAAUGGAUCUCUUGGUUCUCGCAUCGAUGAAGAACGCAGCGAAUUGCGAUAUGUAAUGUGAAUUGCAGAAUUCAGUGAAUCAUCGAAUCUUUGAACGCACCUUGCGCCCUUUGGUAUUCCGAAGGGCAUGCCUGUUUGAGUGUCAUUAAAUUCUCAACUUCAACACUUUUUUGUAUUGAAGCUUGGAUGUUGGAGGGUCUUGCGGGCAUAUAUUAAUGUCAGCUCCUCUUAAAUGCAUUAGCAGAACCUGUGUUCGGCUCUGGUUUGAUAAUCCUAUCUAUGCCAUUGCUGAAAUGUCAUUGUUCAGCUUCUAAUGGUCCAUUGGACUGUCUCUUCAGAGGCAUAUAUUUUGACUUGACCUCA
rnacentral:rRNA from 1 species